rnacentral:rRNA from 1 species
CCUACGGGUGGCAGCAGUGAGGAAUAUUGGUCAAUGGACGAGAGUCUGAACCAGCCAAGUAGCGUGAAGGAUGACCGCCCUAUGGGUUGUAAACUUCUUUUAUAAGGGAAUAAAACGAGGCACGUGUGCCUUUUUGCGUGUACUUUAUGAAUAAGGAUCGGCUAACUCCGUGCCAGCAGCCGCGGUAAUACGGAGGAUCCGAGCGUUAUCCGGAUUUAUUGGGUUUAAAGGGUGCGGAGAUGGGUGGUUAAGUCAGUUGUGAAAUUUUGCGGCUCAACCGUAGAAUUGCAAUUGAUACUGGCAGUCUUGAGUGCAGUUGAGGUAGGCGGAAUGCGUGGUGUAGCGGUGAAAUGCUUAGAUAUCACGAAGAACCCCGAUUGCGAAGGCAGCUUACUAAAGUGUGACUGACAUUGAUGCUCGAAAGUGUGGGUAUCAAACAGGAUUAGAUACCCGUGUAGUC